CACACACACACACACAAAAUAGAAUGCUGUUUUCAAAAAAGGAUAUAUAUGGAUAUGUUUGCGUAUGCAAAAACUAUGGAAACAAGAAACUAAGGAGAAAACGGGCCCACGGGGAGGAGAGCUUGGUCACCAGGGAUGAAAGUGGGACAUUUGCAUUGUAUACUCUUUUGCAUUUUGUACCAAGUAUAAGUAUUAUUUAUUUAAUAAACAAAAUAUAUGUAAAUACAUGAAAGUUGCCUUUGGUGAAUCAUUUUGCAAGGUUCAUUUGUAGUGCAAACAACCACUCCCUCAUUUGCUUUGGAAAUGUUGACAUUUCUGUCCUGGAUUUUCUUAAAGCAUGAAAUACCAGAGUCUACAAACCACACCCUGAGUGUUCUAAAUUUGAGGUCACUGACAAAACCAGCCAUGCAAGUGUGACUUUCCAAAAGGCCAAACAUUGUCAAGAGAAGCAGAGCAUCUUACCCCUGGCAGUGUGUGUCUCACCCACUGGAAGCAAUGACAUCAGUUGCCUCUGAAUAUUCCUUCCAUGAGAAGAUAGGAACCGUCCUCAGCUCCUGCUACCCCAGAGCUGCUCCAACUUUAACAUGUAUACAAAUCCUGUAGGAUUCAAUUAAAAUACAUAUUCUGAUUUAGAAA